CCUGCCUUGAAGUUCAGGGACUUUUUAACGCCGAUCAAAGCGCCACUCCUGCACAGAGUCACACACUGAGCCGAGGCGCUCUGGGUUUUUUCUUUUUUCUUUUCUUUCCCCUGUAAAGUCGGUCCAGCUCUGCGCCGCCGGACCCGGGUCCGCGCAUCUGUCCGUCAGGGCUGCGCUUCACCUGAGAGUCCGGAUCACGCUCGUUUCAGUCUCACCAUGGAUUCCCGGACCGCCACCUCCGCUCUGCUCCUGGCUGGCUUUAUCUCCUCCGCGGCUUUCAGUCACUUCGACACCGGAAACGCCCACAGACAGCAGCAACUCGACAAGGCCCGAGCAAACGGACAUGGCUAAGUGGAGAGAGCAAACAUUCAGACGAGCGAAGGAAGCAGACGUCGCUAAGUGGGCAGGAAAACAAAGGAACAAAGCCAGCAAGUGGACAGUGCUAAGAAGCCGUGACGAGGAAAAUGUGC
rnacentral:lncRNA from 1 species